AUACACAGACACAAACAACUGAAUCAUUGAGUAGGAAAAAGUAUAAUUUUUGUACAUGUUACAAAGAGGCUAAAAGUUGGAGAAUGAAGACAGAAUAUCAUUGGUGCUUUCACCCUACAAUGUUCCACAUUCCUAUAAAUAUUUUCAUUACCAUUCAAGAGAAAAUGAAUUGGUUUAUAUCAUUCCCAAAAUGUAUUCAAUUUUGGGGAGUCAAGAGUACCCCCAAGAGUAUAUAUAUAUAUAUAUGUUUACUUAAUUAGAGCUAAAUGGACCACUGCUUUAUAAGGCAUCUUUCAUGAUAGCAUUGCAGCUGCUGGCAUCAUCCCUGAACUUCAGACGUGUCCCAAAGUAGGUUACCUCCUCCGAUAUGUUCUAAGUCCGUUAAGACAAAUUCCUUUUUAAUUCAUUUAUUUAUUUUUCACAGAGAACAAAACUUUUUUAUACACAAAACUUACCUUGAGCUAAAAAAGGAAGAUGAGUAUUGAUUUCUUGAAAAACAAAAUUGUCUCUUCAAUAAUGGUACUACUAGGCUUUACAAAAUUGCUAAAUAUUAUUUUACUUCUAUUUUCUAAGCUUAUUUCUGUUUUUUUUUUUUUAGAAUUCAGAUCCUUAAAUGUUAUGACCCACCAUUUGUCCAUUAUGUUACAAUCACUUUAGGCUUACACUUAAGAUGGUGGAACAAGGUAAAGGGCUGAUAAAGAAAUUAACACUGUUCCAUAAAUUCUUAAGUAACUUGUUUUUCCAUAUUGCCUUCAGACAUAGAAGUAAAAUAUUUUAAUUAAUUUUAAAUUGGUAAGAUAUGCAUAGUACCUAGUUAUAUGUAGACAAUUUGCAAUAUUUUUGCUGCAAACUUAUACGGACUUAAAUGAUAGAAAACAUAAGUAUCAGAGAAUCCAAGGUUCUCCCAUAGAUUUUGUGUAAAACUUUCUUUUUAGUCAACAGUUAAUGGAAACCCUAUAAACAUUGAUGCUCCUUGUGCUUCUCUCUAUAUGUUCACUUUUAUUACUAUUUCUUAUCAAAACAAUUUGAUUUUCUAGCCAUUUGAUGUUUCAAGGCCAUAACUGUUAUGCUGCAGUAUCUGGAGUUUGCCAGUUUAUAUUUUCUUGGUUUUGACCUCAAGACUAGGGUUACAAAAAUCUUCAGUUUGACUGAAAAAUCACUUUUCGAGUGAAAUACUACUACCAAUUUGUACCAUAGUGCAAACUUAGAAUCGACCACAAGUAUUUGAUAAUGAAAAUAACAUUUCACUAACUUAUUAAAUGAAAUGCUGCAGGACUAUAAAGAAAAUACAUACAAUGUAACUCUUUAUUGCCACGAAUCUAUGAUUAUAUGCAACGCACAGUGAUCUGGCACAUAAAAAGUCAAAGGUAUGCCUUUAAAACAGCGCAGGUCAAAGUACAUAAAAUGUUAGCUUGUAUAGUUAGCAUUAAAGGCUUUUGCCCCAGAGAUCAAAAGUUUCCAAAACAUUUUCUAAAGCAGCCUCUAAAUUUUAUUGAUGCCAUCAAUGUACAAAAAAAUACUGUGUUAGAUGUGAGAUUACAUUUUAUAUAAUUGGAAAACCUAAUCGGAUGUGUUGCUGUUAUACGGUGCUAUCACGUUUAGCAUAGUCCAGUUACAAUUUGGGAAGAGAUAUAAAACAAAAGAUGAUUACAUAUACUAUUGAUGGUUUCCUAUGAUGUGGAGUUACAACACACAUGAUAGCAGCAUUCAGUGUUGGAAAUAAGCAUACUGCAGUGUAUAGUGAUAAGAAUACAUACAUAAUAAAUUAACAAUACAACUAAUAUUCCCAGAGAGCGCAUCUCCUUAGUUAAUUCUUCCCGCAGGAGUCAAAGAUAAAUACAAGUGACCAUUUCUAAAUAACAAUUCUUGCAGUUGGUUAAAUUUAAUAAAUACAAGAAAUAAUACUAUGAACAAUUAUCACAUGUAUUGCUGCCGUAAGCACUGUAAUAGGGAAUUUGUUCGGUUAAACUACCUCCCAAUUUUACCUGAGAGGUUAAAUGGCUUAACCAUGCCAUCAGAAACCAUUUUGACUCCAAUCGUCCUCUUUAAAGCCACUGAGGUCACCUUGCAAAUCUUGGAGACAUCGAUCAAUUUUCAAAGCACAUUAAAAAUAUACUUUGACUCUGCUCACCUUUAUUUACGACUCCUCUGACUGACUAAAGCUCUGCAGACACAGGAAUAUAAUAUGGGUAAAUGUGUUCAAAUAUAAUAUUGAAGAUUGUGUAUUUAACAUUAGUAUAAACUGCUACAUUUAAAUUGAAAAUAUAGAGGCUAUUGUAUUAACCUUGCACACAUCUCACCAGCAGGAUAGGGCUGAGUGCAGAUGAACAGUUCAGUGGCACUAGGUUUCUUGUAAUCUCAGACACAGUGGUUUAAUCCGUUUAACAACCUAAAUUGUCAGAGAAGUUAAUUCUAAAUAUCACGUUUGCUGUGUGCAAGGGGGAAGGAGAAAUCCCUGGAUCAAAACUGUAAACAUAAGUCCAGUAAGUCUGACCCUUUAGAAAAAAAAUCUAUACGGAGGGUUUAACUCUUUCAGCACUGCAUAACACAUUAGAAGUACAGAGGAAUUAAAACUGGCCUGAACUUGACUGCUUCAUUUUGGGCCAUUACAUUUUAUCAAGUGAUGGCUUUGUUCUUCCUGUGUACAUGAAUCCCUUAGUAAAGUAAUGACCCUUUUGCUAUUGUGCAGUAGAUCAAAAUCAACAAAAUAGGGUUAACUGCUUUGGCACAAAAACACAGCAGCCACUGUAUGCAAUGCAGUUCUCUUUCACCACCAAUGGGUUAAUCUUACAGCCCUAUAUAUAAAGUGCUAGGCAGGCUGAAUCUGCUAGCCAGUGUAUACACCGCUUUAAUGCCUUAUUGUCCAUUACAUCAAAUGGCGGAUCUUUCUGUAAUAUGUUUCUUUGUUCAUUCACAUUAUAUAUAGCAAUAUAUAAUGAGUAUGGGAUUCCUUUAAUACAAGCAUAAAGGCCUUGGCGGACAAUGUUCACAGACCUCUUGGAACGUGGAAGAGUUAAACAUUAACAUGACAAUAAUACUUAAAGAAUGAAUUUGGUGCAGAGAAGGAAACAAAAAAUCUCAUUCAACAUUCUACAAUAUCUGACAUCAGAAAUAAAAAGAUUUAAAAUUAAGCAAAAAAUAUUAGCAGAGAGACAUUAAUAGCAAUAUUUAUUACAGUAGUCCUAAUCAUAGCAAUACUAAAUAGAAUAAUGAUUGCAGGUAAUUAACUAUCAGCGCUUUUACGGUAUAGUGAUUAGCGCACAUGCAGCCAUAUGCAAAGUGCAAACAAUGAAGGGCUUUAUUAGUGAUUUUAAGACCUCUAAAUUGAGUGUUCUGCAAAACAAGAUAUCAAGUGGUACGGGUGCCAACGCAGACUAAAAAGCAUACACAUAUGAAAAGAGGGCACUCACAGGACUUGCGGAUAAAGCUACAAGACCAAAGAUCAUGUUGUUGGGCUGAAAUAUUGACCCAGUCAUUAUCUUGGUCUUUUAUGGAAUAAAGACUCCUGAUGAAUUGUCCUGUGAGUGCCCUUUUAUAUGUACACACCCACACACCACACUCGGCAGAUAAACAGCACAUGGAUGCAUGUUGUGCAGGUACACUUUAGCCAAAAUUGAUAUUCAGUUAUGUGUUAUCCUUUUCAUUCAUAACCCUGUUGCAGAUGUAACAAGUCACAUGGUUGUGCCAUGUUAAACUCGAUUUCCCCUCACCGAACAGAGCACCUGUGUCACCUGAAGGAAGGUGCAGUAUAACUAAUCCUUUUCCCACUAUCAGCCCUGUUGCCAGGUAUAAUUUAACUUUUUGGAUGAACACAUCAACCGUUUUCUGCCAUCCAAGCCUGACUACCAAUGUUGAAUUUUUACAAGCUGGUGAAUGAUAAAGGUUUGGUCAAAUGAGAAAUGCUGGGAAUGUUUAAAAUGAAGUAGAGGUUUCUAGAUACUUAAAGGAAUGUAUCACUUACAAAUUAAUUUUGUAAACCUGCAGUUCUUAUAGGUAACAUUUUGCAAACCAAUGACAGACCACAGAACUAGGGCUUUAUUUAGUCAGCAGAUGUUCAGUUACAAAAACAAAGAAACAAGCGUAUAUUAGAUCAGGGGAGAUCGAAGCAUUCUCUUAUAAGGUGCUGACUACAAAUGAUAAGUAUUACUUUGUUUUAUGAAAUAAAAAUUUACGAUUCAGUGUCUGUGUGAAUAUUUUCCUUUUGUAUAUUAACAAUGUCAGGCCAACAUUCCCAGGUCACAUACUUGUACGUGGCUGAGGAAAUACUAUAAUUUUAAGGUAGUAUCUACCUUUGAAUCUGCAUUCACAUUAAUGCAAAAUAUUUUAAAAAUAUGUGUAACCUAUAAAAUACACCGCUUGUUUAGUUGGAUAUAAUGCUUGAUUUACCACAAAAAGGUCUAUUUCAGCUUAAAUAACAAUGAGGUAACAGAAAAUCUUUGAGUUACAUGUAAAAAGAGUUGUUCAGAAAUGUGUAAUACUUCACCUUUAAUAUCUAAUAUUCUCCACUAUUGAUGGUAUUCUAGAGGAGCUGAUAGUGGAAUGAUGAGGAGAAGCAGGGGCAUAUGUAAAAUGAAUAACAUGGAUCUGGUAAUAAAUGAAAAUAUGUUGUCAUUGGCCAUAGUCUGUUUCUCUGUGCAGUACAUUAAAGUAAUACUAAUAAUAUAAGCCUCGGACUGUGGUUCGUUAAUGGUUUAACCCCUUGAGGUAAACUGGUGCCCGGAAAACUCAGCGUAUAAUAACCACUUCAUUCAUAUCUAGUUGUUAUGAUACCCAGGAUCACUCUGAGGUCCUGUCAAAAGAGUAUGUUGUUCUAUACAUUGCAAUUUUUUUUUAAAUUAGCAAUUCAGUUAAAUGAUCCCACUUUAAAUGAGAAUUUGAAUACAAUAAAUAAAGUAAGUUUCUGUUUGAAUGACUGCAGGAUGGUAUAAGCCUAAAUUAGGUUUCUGAAAGUUAACAUAUGUUUGGAGCCUCCAUAAUGCAAUUUAAGGCAAAGCUUCUCAAACCAGUCCUUAAUUAACUAUCUUGGGCUCCGGUUCUACAGAUAUUCCCACUGAAUAAAACUUGGUAACCCCUAAAUAACAUAUCAUUGAUAGGUACAAAGUAAAGCAUGGUAAGAAUGGAUGCUGUUUUUGUUUUUUACCAUCACUGCAAAACAGGUUUAUCAGCUGAAGCAUGAAUUCUUCAAAAUUCAAAGUGGAUUUUACAUUUUAGGAUAAAUAUAGGCAACAUAGUGCAGUAAUUAACUCUGUCUAUAUUGUGAUUAUCACAAGCUGUGAAAAACUUAUGGGUAAGGCCAAAUAGAACGUAUCCAUAUUCUAUUAUUUCAUAUUUCUUCAUAAGCUGGUGCUUUGAUUUAAAUUUAAACAGACACAUUGACAAUAAGGUGUCUGCAGUGCACCACCAUAAAUUGCAGUAAUGAGACAGACAACAGAUUAUAUGAUCAUAAUUAUGGUGUGUUUGUGACAGUCUCUGGCAUAUCACAAUCGUGAAAUAUACAAUUUGUAUUACCAGUGUCACACAAUACUAAAUGUAAAAAAAAAUGUAUAGGGAUACAUAUAAUAUUGAAAACCAAAAGUUCUAUGGCCACUCUGAAGUUAUUACCUAAAAUGUCAGUAUUUUUUGUCAAUUGUACUGAUAUUGAACAAACACAGACAUGAUGAAAAAAAAAAUAUACACACAUAUAUAUCCAGUGUAUAUGUGUCUUGUAAUGUCUCAUUUAAUUCAGUGUUGUAAAUGAACAUGAUAUUAAAGAAAAUGAAUUCAGAUACUGAACUACACUGAUACUAGCACAUUUGCCCUUUCAUAAAAAUGAAUUGUUAAUAUAUGCAUCAGUGGCGGAUCCAGAGCCUGAUCUCGGGAAGGGAACUUGUAGAUUAUUUAACCCCUUAAGGACCAAACUUCUGGAAUAAAAUGGAAUCAUGACAUGUCACACGUGUCAUGUGUCCUUAAGGGGUUAAAGAAAUAAUCCAGAUACAAUAACCACUACAGCUCAGUGUGGUGGUUAUGGUGUCAAUAGUGCCGGGACCCCCUCCCAGAGUAAGUAGUCAAUCCUUUUAAGAACAGUUUGACAACUUACCUGAGGUCUGCUGGGAAAUGGGGCUAUAGUAGCAGUGGUGUGUGUGAGUGAUGCAAUGUGUAAGGGGUGCAGUGUGUGUGUGUGUGUGAGGGGAACAGUGUGUGAACAGUGUGAGUGAGGGUGGCAGUGUAUGUGUGUAUGGCGGGCAGUGUGUGUAUGUAUCAGGGGCAGUGUAUGUGGGGCAGUGUGUGUGUAUGGGGGCAGUGUGGGGGGGAAUGUGUGUG